rnacentral:rRNA from 1 species
CAGCAGCCGCGGUAACACGUAGGGUGCGAGCGUUAAUCGGAAUUACUGGGCGUAAAGCGUGCGUAGGCGGUUUGUUAAGUCUGCUGUGAAAUCCCCGGGCUCAACCUGGGAAUGGCAGUGGAUACUGGCAAGCUAGAGUGUGUCAGAGGAUGGUGGAAUUCCCGGUGUAGCGGUGAAAUGCGUAGAGAUCGGGAGGAACAUCAGUGGCGAAGGCGGCCAUCUGGGACAACACUGACGCUGAGGCACGAAAGCGUGGGGAGCAAACAGGAUUAGAUACCCCCGUAGUCCCUGUCUCUUAUAC